UACGUAGGGGGCGAGCGUUGUCCGGAGUUACUGGGCGUAAAGGGCAUGCAGGCGGUCGGACGCGUUUCGGGUGACAGCGGGUGGCUUAACUACCCGAGUGGUCGAAAGACGGUUUGACUUGAGGACGCGAGAGGGACACGGAAUUCCGGGUGGAGUGGUGAAAUGCGUAGAGAUCCGGAGGAACACCGAAGGCGAAGGCAGUGUCCUGGCGCGUAACUGACGCUGAGGAGCGAAAGCCAGGGGAGCAAACGGG
rnacentral:rRNA from 1 species